CAAUGGCCGCGCGCGCGCUGCAAAUGCAUCGCCACUACCCGAGCCACUCUCUCUCUCUCUCACUCCAGUGCUCCUGCUGCGAAUGCGAUAUAUGUGCAGCUAGUCAGUAGGGUAGGUGAGAGAGAGAGAGAUUAGGAGGGUCUCCUCGCCUCCGAUCCCCAGCAUCGAUCGGCCAGUCGUGCUAGUGGGGGAGCUGGGGUAUGGUUGGUGUCCGUCGAUGAACGCAAUAAAUAAAUAAAACACCAGGGGCCUGCACUGCACACUGGAUCGUCAUCACUGCGCCAGGAACCAACUAGGACUGCUGCUGCGGCAUAUAGGCUCCGGCCGCCGGGCGAAAACACCCGUUAUUAUGCCUGUCAUGGCUGGAGUAUUUACAACCAUUUCCCUCACGCACGCAGUUUGCAGAUCACUGUCGGAGAGCCAUCAAUAGCCCUGCCGUGGCCGAGCCGUACCGUACGUCGAGCCGUCGAGGAGGUCCCCUGGAUUCUCUCCUGUGUUGCUCGGCCGGUUCAUCGUCAUCAAUUGCCUUGCCGGCCUUCGAGAACCAUCGUCAAGGCUCAGUCACCUGAUUGCACGCAAAUUUUGUGAUGAGUGUGCGAUUGGUCGGUCGACGAUAGAAAGAGGGAGAGGCAGGGGAUGAUUGCACUGCGCAACGGAGGAUGUGACUGGUGGAAGGAGUUGCGUUGGUCACUUGGGGCAGGAUUGGAGAAUCAAGCGAGGCGAGGCGAGGCCGAGGCAAGAGGAUGCAAACAUACUUGAUGUGUUUGUCCCCAGGGUGCGGCAAACAUUUGAUACAAGGGAAGAAGCCUACCUCUUUUACCUUGACUAUGCAAAGUUGGCUGGUUUUAGUGUCAGGACAAAGAGGUGUAAUUGCAACUGCUGGU